CUUAUGGCUUGUUUUGUUAGUUUUAUUUACCACACUUCUCAUUAAAGCAUUAAAAAGCUGAGUAAUUGAGAUAGAAAUUUUGUUUGUAUAAUUUAAGUACCGCAAGGGAAAUGAUAAUAUAAAAAAGAACAGCUUGUAUUAGCGUACUUUUUGCAUCACGGCUUAGCAAGAAGAAAUUAGAUAUCUAAGCUCUCGAAAUCUAAUGAGCUAUUUCUAUUUUACUUGUUGGGGUAUAUUUGUUCUAGAUGUAGCAAAAUCUAAAUAAUAAAUAGAAAUAGAGAUGAAAUUUCAUUCGCAUUAGUGAUAGCUAGUUCUCUCCGAAAAAUAUAAAAGUAUAAAAAUAACUGCUGGUUAUUAAAGAAAUAUUUAAUAUCUAGUUUUCUUGAUACCGGCGUUAAUUUUCACUUACUGGAGGAUAAGCUCCAGUAAGAAUUUUGAGAAAAUUACAAAUAUUAUACUUCUCUGUGUAAGCUUAAGAUUGGCCAUCACCAAAAAACUUGUUAUAAAGUAGUUUCUAAAUAAAUUAAAAUAAAUAUGUAAAAUUUCCAACUAAAUAUAGGAGAGCAUUGUAAAAGUUUAAAUUUUUAGACCGAACGACCAUGCUAAGAUGAGUAUUAUUUUGAAGAAUUAAUAUGGAAAAGCAAUAAAAAUUUUCCUUUAUAAGUUAUUCUCUGUAAUUCUAAAUAUCAAGAAGGAACUCGGCAAAUUCUUGCUUCGCCUGUUUAUCAAAAACAUCGCUCUUUGUUGAUACCACAUAAAGAGUCGAGCCUGCCCAGUGAAAUUUUAACGGCCGCGGUACUCUGACCGUGCAAAGGUAGCAUAAUCAUUUGCCUUAUAAUUGAAGGCUAGUAUGAAUGGUUUGACGAAAGCAAAUCUGUCUCCUUUUUACUUUCUAGAAUUUGACCUUCGGGUGAAGAGGCCCGAGUAAUAUUGAAGGACAAGAAGACCCUGUCGAGCUUAAAAGAAUUAGUAGAAGUCAAUAUAGAUAAUAAAUAAAUAAUCUGCCAAGCUUUUUAGUUGGGGCGACUAAGGAACAAGAAAAGCUUCUUAAUUAUCAAAAACCAGACAAGUUUAGAUCCAGCUAUAGUCUGAUUAAAGAAAUUAGUUACCGCAGGGAUAACAGCAUAAUCUCUCUUGAGAGACCUUAUCGAAAGAGGGGGUUGUGACCUCGAUGUUGGACUAGAAUAUCCUAAAGAUGCAGAAGUCUUUAAGGGUUGGUCUGUUCGACCAUUAAAAUUCUACAUGAUCUGAGUUCAGACCGGCGUGAGCCAGGUCAGUUUCUAUCCUCAAUUUUUAUUUUGAGCUUAGUACGAAAGGAUCGGCUUAAGAAAUAAUAUUUUUCCUGAGAAUUCAUAUAACACUAGUUAUAAAACUUAUUU
rnacentral:rRNA from 1 species